AUAUACUCAGCAAAAGCACCGUCUCUUACAGCUCCGAUAACUUCAAGAGUCAUACAUCUUGCAUAUUCGCCUUUUUUACAGUAUUCACAUUCAAAACAAGGAAGUGCAGGAC
rnacentral:antisense_RNA from 1 species